CGGGCUGCGGGAAGAGGUGCCAAUCUCAGCUUCGUGGAUAUGACUUUCACUGCUUUUUGGGGGAUUUCGUUCUCAACCGUAAGCAAGAUCUCGCUGCCUUUGUUGUAACCGCUGGUCGAAGCCACUACAGUGGUUUUCUUUUUGAUUUCUCGCGAUGCUCCACCUGUCAAUCAUCUGACUUGUGACUGGCAGGUAGAUGGCCCCAUUCACCUGUCAAUGAUGGCAAGUGGGAGAUGACGACCAAGCAGAAUUGAACCCUGUCACCCAUCAGCUGAGCAGUGGGGGUUCAAUCCCACUUUCUGCAAGGAUCUACUGUUAAUGUCACCAGCCCACUGGGGUGAUUGACAGAAAGAAAAUUCAGCCACCUUCAUCAUUUGGCUCUGGCGACAUUAGCAGUGACACCCCUCCCCACAGGAACACACAGGUGGAAGACUAGCUUCUGGAAUGUGGCCAGUGCUGACUUUGCAGUAGGAUGCAUAGACGUUUCAUCGGCAUAAGGGGGGAAACAACUGCCUUUGCUUUGAGUACAUGAAAACAAACGGCUGGUCCCAAACAAAAAACAAACCAACCCAUAUUCUUGGAACAAAACCAGUGUCAUCUGAAGAACAUCCUCCUCCUCCUGGCACAGUGCAUCUCAAAACAUGGAUCACUGUGGAUCAACACUGUCCGUCCAAGGAGACUUGCCAUAAACUUGGAACAUGUGUAAAUUUUGUGUCUUUGCUUGGAAGAGAAUUGGAAGCAAGAGGUCAUGUGUGGUUUCAGAUAUAUUCAAGGACCUGGAACAAGGAUUCUGUUAUGACUAAAAGAAGGCUGGGGAGAAUCUCUGGCUCACUUCUCUUGUCAACUGCUGGUUAAAAACAUAAUACAGGAUUUAAAAAUAUAACACCCCACCCCCAUAUAAAAUAUAUUUUCAUGUAUAAAAUCCCAAAGAAGGUGCAAGUAGUAGGAUCCAGCCCCAAACACGCCGAGUUAUGUAGGUGCACGUGAUGGAUAGUCUGAUGGAGGCUUGGUCCAUUUCCUGGAGGGGGGAUGCUGGUUGCUAGGAUACAGCUUUGUCCUCCAAAGCAAGGUACACAAAGCUGACUAACCUAUGGAGCAAACAGACAAAGUUAGGGAAACUGACU